UUGGGCUUGAGCUAACUUUGCCAAACACUGCCUACCACUCGCCGACCAGAAAAAAGCCUCGAGCUAACACCCACUGCCCACCACUCGUUUCUUUGGCCUGAUCUCUUUCGAUUCCGUUCUUUCCCUUUUCAUGGGGUGAAAUCACAAGCAAUCGUCUCAUAUCUUCCAUUCCAGUAACCAAGUGAACAGUAAUGGAGUGGGACAGCGAUUCGGAUCUGAGCGCCGAGGAGGAGGAGGAGGAAGACGGGGAGGUCAGCUCUUCCAUGUUCGACGACGACGACGCCGCCGGCCCGGGACCGCUUCCCUUCCCCGUCGAGAAUUUGCUUCAAACGGCGCCGUGCGGGAUUGUUGUUACCGACGCCAUCGACCCUGAUCAUCCUAUCAUCUACGUCAACACCGUCUUUGAGAUGGUCACCGGAUACCGUGCCGAGGAGGUCCUCGGUCGCAACUGCCGAUUUUUGCAAUAUAGAGGGCCAUUUGCCAAAAGAAGGCAUCCACUAGUGGAUUCUGCAGUAGUUUCAGAAAUCAAAAGAUGUCUGGAGGAGGGCAUUGAAUUCCACGGAGAGUUGUUAAACUUUAGGAAAGAUGGAUCUCCAAUGAUGAAUAGGUUGCGGCUGACACCUAUAUAUGGGGAUGAUGAUGUGAUAAGCCAUGUCAUUGGAAUUCAGUUCUUCACGGAGGUAGAUAUUGAUCUAGGUCCAGUGCCUGGUACCACAAUCAAGGAGUCUGCAAAAUCUUCUGAUCGGUUUCAUGCUUGUCUUUCCGCUUUUCGUCCUGGAUUGCCUCUGGGGGAGCGUAAUAUCUGUCGUGGAGUUUGUGGGAUAUUGCAAUUGAGUGAUGAGGUUAUUGCUCUCAAGAUAUUAUCUAACUUGACACCUAGAGACAUUGCAUCUGUUGGGUCAGUCUGUAGGCGACUCUAUGAGCUUACGAAGAAUGAGGACCUUUGGAGAGUGGUCUGCCAGAAUGCAUGGGGUAGUGAAACAACCCGUGUUUUACAGGCUGUGCCAGGUGCAAAGAGGCUAGGUUGGGGUAGGCUGGCACGUGAACUGACCACUCUUGAAGCAGCGACGUGGAGAAAGGUCACUGUUGGAGGUGCUGUGGAACCCUCACGCUGUAACUUUAGUGCUUGUGCAGUUGGUAAUCGUGUAGUUCUUUUUGGUGGUGAAGGGGUUAAUAUGCAACCAAUGAAUGACACCUUCGUAUUGGAUCUGAAUGCCAAUAACCCAGAGUGGCAGCAUGUCCAAGUGAGCUCCCCUCCUCCUGGUCGUUGGGGCCAUACACUUUCUUGUGUGAAUGGGUCACAUUUGGUGGUAUUUGGAGGCUGUGGCAGGCAGGGUUUGCUAAAUGAUGUUUUUGUACUGGAUUUGGAUGCAAAACCUCCAACUUGGCGUGAAAUAUCUGGGUUGGCUCCUCCUCUUCCAAGAUCAUGGCACAGUUCCUGCACUCUUGAUGGCACCAAGUUGAUAGUUUCAGGUGGUUGUGCAGACUCCGGAGUCCUUCUCAGUGAUACCUUUUUGCUUGAUCUCUCGAUGGAAAGACCUGUCUGGAGAGAGAUACCAGUAGCAUGGAAGCCCCCUUCCAGAUUAGGUCACACCCUGUCUGUAUAUGGUGGUAGGAAGAUUUUGAUGUUUGGGGGCCUUGCCAAGAGUGGGCCACUUCGGUUUCGUUCGAGUGAUGUUUUUACAAUGGACCUGAGUGAGGACGAACCAUGCUGGAGGUGUGUCACUGGAGGUGGAGUGCCCGGUUCUGGAAAUCCAGGAGGAAUGGCUCCUCCUCCUAGACUUGAUCAUGUCGCUGUGAGCCUCCCAGGUGGGAGAAUCUUGAUCUUUGGUGGGUCUGUUGCUGGUCUUCACUCUGCCUCACAACUUUAUCUUCUGGAUCCAACUGAUGAGAAACCUACAUGGAGAAUAUUAAAUGUACCGGGGCGGCCCCCAAGAUUCGCCUGGGGACACAGCACGUGUGUUGUUGGAGGGACAAGGGCAAUUGUCCUUGGUGGUCAAACUGGAGAAGAGUGGAUGUUAAGUGAGCUUCAUGAGCUUUCACUAGCAAACUCUGUAAUCUGAUUGAGAGUAUAUGGUAAUAUGGUGUAAUCAAAGGGCGCAGAAGCCUUCAACUGCAACAUUUCAGAUAAUUUGGAGGAAUCAGUCAGGCAGAAGUUGCUAUUUCAGUCACUAAUCACUCUUGACAAUUGCUACAUUAGUCUGGACUUCUUUAGGUUCUGAAAGUUUCUUAUAUGGAUUUGUUCUGGCUUGGGGUGACAUUUCAGUUAUUUCCAAGAGCGACCCUGAAACAAUGUUUGUUUUUUGUGAGGUUUGUGUGAGACUGCCCUUCAGUACGGACAAUGAAUAAUCUUCCUUGUCAGCUGAAAAGAUAUACAAGGAAAGAUUGUGAGGCAGAUUUCUGAAGAAGCCAGCACCCUAACUCUGUAGAACGUGGCGGUGUUGUUUUUGCGUCCAGAUUAAGUUCCUUUUUCUGGUCGAGAUGGUUUCUUCACUUUCUUGAGACUUGACAAUUUUUCAGCCUUGGAAGGAUGUGGCUUCUUUUUGUUUGCUGCCCUGAUCUUUGCCUUUAGUUUCUUUUCAGUUAUGCAUUUGUUUCCUCUUAACACGGCCGGAGAUACAUGAUCUUUAGUUUCCCUUCAAUUACUCAUUCGGCUGUCUCCACUUAUCACAGCCAGAUACAGUUGUUACAGUUAUGCUUCCUUCGAUUUCUUAUUUUACAAUUUGCACUUUACACAGCCGUAUACAUCUGUUAUGGUUAUAAAAUUGAAUAUAGCUGUUUUCCUGUUGUUCAGCA